rfam:Rattus norvegicus chromosome 6, whole genome shotgun sequence.
GGGGAUUUAGCUCAGCGGUAGAGCGCUUGCCUAGCAAGCACAAGGCCCUGGGUUCGGUUCCCAGCUCA